UAAGCUCUAGGCAAUCAAACCACUCCCUAACAUACAGGGCUACCCCACCACCUCUCCGUCUUGCCUAUCCCUUCUGAAGAAUUUACAGGCAUCCAUUCCAACACUCCAGUGGUGCAAAUCAUCCCACCCUGUUGCCAUGAUGGCAACUAUGUCAUAGAUUCACCACGGCUUCCACCUCCUCCUGUUAGUUGCCUGUGUCGUGUGCAUUGCUGUAGAUGCACUCCAGAUGGACUAUUGAUCCCACCACCUUUUUGAGGGGUGAUACCUUAAUUCCUACAUGACCAUUCUCAGGCACUCCCAUCGUUUCUAACUCAUCAAUAACCCUUGCAUCUUUGCUGUUAAGGAUCCUUUAAAAGGAAAAUUUAUUAUCUGAGUGUUUUUUGUGUUCUCCAGUCCCGUGCAUUUGAUUGUCAUAAUCUAGAGCCAUACCAGUCUCUGGGUAGCACUUUUUUAGCAAUUCAGAAGAUUUAUGUGUCUGUUGCUGCGCUGAAUGCCAUUCUUUGAGCAUUCGUCUCUCAUGAUUGAUCUUUGUCAUGAUGUACUGCACAAACAUCUUUAAAAACACUGGAUGCUGCUACUUUCCAGAGCUGCUGUGUGCUUAAAAGAAUUGUCAUGUCUCAGCUAAAAUGGAAAAGAAUUGCUCAUCUGAGGCAAAGAGCUCUCACAGAGCUUGUCUUCAAAAUCGGUAAUCAGAAGUGACUGCUCUUCAGGAGAUCAGAGCUUCCAAUGUAUCAUGCUGGGCUUCGAUUCUACCAGGGGAUGAAAUGACUAACGAUGCUACUAGGAAUUAGUGACGCAAGAGGUCAAGCGUGCUAGAAUUUUUGCAGAAUCCACUGACGGUGUUCUUUUCAUUCAAAGAUAUGAUCUCCAUGGUCUCCUCCCACUAUUAAAUGAGAAAAAGGAAUCUAAUAGGACUCAGAUCCCAUGAAAAAGAAAUCCCUCUAUGAUACAGGAGUGUGAGAAAAGAUGAAGGACCACCUGUGUAGAUGGAUUUAAUGGACAGAUUUAAGUCAUAAGGAAUGGUUAUACUACUUUUACUACUAACAGAGUUCUGAAACACAGAAUAUUUCUAGUGCGUUACCAUUAACAGAGAACAAAACCAGUCUUUGUUGAUUUCUUCCUCUCUUCCUUUCCCUUCCUCAUAACAAGGAUAAGGAUUUUGCUCCUAAAACAAGUCAUGGGGUAAAGACUGCACCAUACCAUGACAAAGUAGUCAUGAGGUCUUAUAACU